rnacentral:rRNA from 1 species
GUGGGGAAUAUUGGACAAUGGGCGCAAGCCUGAUCCAGCCAUGCCGCGUGAGUGAUGACGGCCUUAGGGUUGUAAAGCUCUUUCGCACGCGACGAUAAUGACGGUAGCGUGAGAAGAAGCCCCGGCUAACUUCGUGCCAGCAGCCGCGGUAAUACGAAGGGGGCUAGCGUUGUUCGGAAUCACUGGGCGUAAAGGGUGCGUAGGCGGAUUUUUAAGUCAGGGGUGAAAUCCCGAGGCUCAACCUCGGAACUGCCUUUGAUACUGGGGAUCUUGAGUCCGGAAGAGGUGAGUGGAACUGCGAGUGUAGAGGUGAAAUUCGUAGAUAUUCGCAAGAACACCAGUGGCGAAGGCGGCUCACUGGUCCGGAACUGACGCUGAGGCACGACAGCGUGGGGAGCAAACAGGAUUAGAUACCCCAGUAGUCC